UUUAAAAAUUCAAACUGCUAAAAACCCUGGAAAACCAUGGCAAACAUUUUAAACCAUUUAAAACAGUUUACUGUAAUUUUAAAACCCUGGAAGGCCAGGCCAAACAGAUAGGUUUUAAGGGCUAUCCUGAAAGACAGUAAUGAACUCAAAUUACGGAUUUCUACCGGGAGUGCAUUCCACAGCCCAGGAACAGCUACAGAGAAGGCCCGCCUCUGCGUUGCCACAAGAUGAACCAGUGGUAACUUCAGUGGAGACGGACCUCCUCAGAUGACCUUAAUGUGCGGUGAGGAACAUGCAGAAGAAGGUGCUCUCUGAGGAACAUAGGACCCUGUCUUAUUCUGAGUCAGAACAUUGGUCCAUUUAUCUCAGUAUUGUCUACAGUGACCGGCAGUGGGUCUCCAUGGUUUCAGGAAGAACCUCAAGACCCUCCUGUUCUCUCAGGCUUUUAAUCAGAAUUAAUUUUAAUAACUUUAAAAAAACCUGUUUUAAUAAUUUCAUUCUAUUGUUCUUAUUGUCAUGUAUUUUAA